rnacentral:tRNA from 1 species
GAGGUUCAAUGGUAGAGCAUCUGCUUGGAAUUCAGAAGGUUCCAGGUUCAAUCCCUGACAUCUCCA